rnacentral:lncRNA from 10 species
UGCAAAUGAAUAAGUAUGGUUGCGUUUUAAUAAAGCUUUAUUUAUAAAAAUAGGUGGUGAGCCAGGUUUGGCCCACAGGCCAUAGUUUACUGACCCCUGUCCUACAUGCUCUGAUCUCCAGGGCCAGACUCACAGAAAUUUCCAGGGUAUUUGUGUUAUAUUUUGAUUUCCACCAACCAAGCACUUUUACACUCAUAAUCAAAUUUAAUUUUUACAAAUGGCAUGCCAUUUUAAAGAAGAAUAAACUGAGGUCACUGGUUGAAGAGUAGAGACCUUUCUGCUAUGAUGGAUGGGAGAUGGGAGGGGAUGGGGUUAACCAAGAUCUUAUUCUGCCCCUGGUUCUGCAUGUGACCCUAGAGGCACCCCUCUUUGCUCUGGGCCUCAACUUCUACUGUGUGGAAAGGGCUUUGGGAUGUGGCCUCAUCCUCUUAGCACCUUUAUAUCCUGAGAUUCCAGACCAAAGUCUCAGGGAAACAGCUACAAUCCAAUCAGUUUUAGCAGCUUCUAAUUCUUUUAAAGCUGCUCUGAGGAAAUGAGACAUUAUUGUAAGGGGGAAGAUCCUUUAAUUAAAUUGCUGGGAAAUUAGAAGGAUUGAGUGAUUGAAACGCAGGGUGGGGCCGAGGCCUCAGCUCUCUCUGUGGAUUAAUUAAGAGGCUGCUCUGUUCCCUGCUCUCCCUGAUGGUGGAUACCAGGGGUCUGACCCCCAGGGACAUUCAGCAAACCCUUUGAUGGGGGGCUGGGAGAGUCUUGUCUCCUUGCAGCAACCACUCCCCACUGGGUCUCCUUUCUCUCCCCCACUCCAAGCCACCCUCCUAUUCCUGCUGCGCCCACAGCUGAUGGAUGUUCUCAGGAUGGGCCAAUCUUAAUUAAGUUGUAUGAUUUUUCUCAAGCAUGCAGAGAAAGGGGAUAAGGGAGGGCAUGGGGGAGCUUCUUCAGAAAUCCAGAGUGACUGUGGGGCUUGGUAUGUCCCAGCUGGGUGGCUCUGAACACAGCACAGCCUGAGUCUCUACCGCUUCCUUCCCAUCAGCCCCCCAACACCACCCACACAGCCACUCUCCUUAGCCCGUGACUGAAGGUGGACUCUCCGAGGCUGCUCAGGGGAGCC